rnacentral:rRNA from 1 species
AUGGCCGGCCAGCCCCGCGAACGCGGGUCCCGCGCCGCGCGCAAGGGCCGCCCCGUCCGCACGCCAGCGACCCUGCUCGCCCUUAACCCCACCCCCGAUCCCGAUCUGUCCGCGCAGGCCUCUGACGACGUCUCUCCGUGGGGCCGCUCGACGGCGGACGAGCUGGAGGACCGCCUCCUCAAGAGGCUGGAGGAGGCCUACGCGGCGGCGCUGGCCGGCCUCGCUGAGCUCGGCUACGCCGAGGACUCCGCGCUCCGGGCCGUCCUCCGCGCGGGCCACUGCUACGGCAAGCUUGACGACCCUGUCGAUAACAUCGUCGCCAACGCCCGCUCCUUCCUCAACGAUCCAGACGCCCCCGGCGGAGCCGGUGGGUUUGCCGACCUCCGCCGCCUCGAGGAGUACUCCCUAGCGGGCCUCGUCUGCCUCCUUCAGAGCAGCCGCCCCACCAUCUCCCGUGUCGAGGCCAUGUGGUGCCUCCUCGCCAACGACCUCCGCCUCGAGCAGGCCAUCAACAUGGGAGCCUCCUUCACCGAUAAGUCGCCCCACUCUGGCUUCUCCACCGCCGAGAGUGAUGCGCCUUCCCCGGCCGCCCCCGCCCCAGGGCAGCGUGGCUACUGCCACUUCCAUGCGACCACGGCCACAGAGAACCACAUGUUUGACCCUGAAACAUUCAUGCGUCUUGCGAUGCGCGCCCACACUGACAGCACGCGCCCGCACACCGAGAGCACUGCUGGCGUGGUCUCCUGCGUCAAGAACACAUGGUCACGGUCCGGCGGCAGCGCUGCCCCGGCCCCUGCUGCCCCAGAUGGGCAGGGGCAGCCCAAGCAGUCAUUUGCUAUGAAGGUGUCCACCGAUGAUCUCAUCGAGUCUGUGGUGAUGGAGCUUGAGUCGCUGGACAUUGACAAGAAGGACCCUCCUGCGGAGAAGCCUGAUCCCAAGAAUGAGAUGGUGCGUGACCUCAUUAAACAGACGCGGGAGAUGGAGGAGCAGCUCAAGGAGCGCAAGGAGUGGGCCCAGAAGAAGGCGGUACAGGCUGCUCGUAAACUUGGCAAUGAUCUCACUGAGUUGCGCAUGCUGCGGAUGGAGCAUGAUGAUAACCAGCGGCGGAAGAAUGAUAAGCAGUCACUUGAGGAUGAAACAAUGAAGCGCCUCACUCGUCUGGAGUAUGAGCUGAAGAAGAAGAGUGGGCAGCUUGACCGGAGUAAUGCUAGUGUGCAGAAACUGGAAAUGGAGAAUGCGGAAAUACGUGCUGAGAUGGAAGCCGCGAAGCUGAGUGCAUCGGAGACUGAACGGCAAUGCCAGAUACUGCUAAAGAAAGAGAAGAAAGACAGCAAAAAGCUUGAGCUGUGGGAGCGGCAAAAGGCCAAGCUGCAGGAGGAGAUCGCUGAAUGCAAGGCGAAGAUCGCACAGGCAGAUAAGGAGCUGGCUGGGGUCAACAAGUCAAUAAGAAAUAUGGAGGUUAAAAUAAGAGAAGACACAAAGGCCACAGAAGACAACUUGGCACUUGCAGAACAGGAACGUGGGAAGCGGGAAUCUGCGAAAGCUGAUGCUGAUCGCCGACUUGAAGAAAUUCGCCGGAAGACAGAAGUAGAGUCCCAGUGCUACAAAGAUGACCUCCGGAGGCUCCAGGAUCAGUUAUCCCGUCUGCAGAAGUCCAUGGGUGCAAAUGCGCCGACAGUUCCAUCAGCCUAUCCUCCGGCUAUGACUGACCGCAAUGCAGCGGGGGCACCCAAGCAGCCCAACCAGAAGGCACCGCCCGCAUCCAACAGGCAGCAGGAGCCUAUCCAGAAUACAGGCCGCCGCAGAGGCUGCAUUAUCUGCAAGAGGGAGGAGGCUUGCGUGAUGCUGCUGCAGUGUGCUCACCAGGUGCUCUGUGUCGGCUGCAACAAGCAGCAUGAGGAGAAAGGCGCAGUUCGCUGCCCCAGCUGCAACGCCAAGAUCGAGGAGAGGAUCAGGGUUUUCGGUGCCUCCUCCAACUGA